AACGAACGCUGGCGGCAUGCCUAACACAUGCAAGUCGAACGAAGCCUUCGGGCUUAGUGGCGCACGGGUGCGUAACGCGUGGGAAUCUGCCCUUGGGUUCGGAAUAACAGUUAGAAAUGACUGCUAAUACCGGAUGAUGUCUUCGGACCAAAGAUUUAUCGCCCAAGGAUGAGCCCGCGUAGGAUUAGGUAGUUGGUGGGGUAAUGGCCCACCAAGCCGACGAUCCUUAGCUGGUCUGAGAGGAUGAUCAGCCACACUGGGACUGAGACACGGCCCAGACUCCUACGGGAGGCAGCAGUAGGGAAUAUUGGACAAUGGGCGAAAGCCUGAUCCAGCAAUGCCGCGUGAGUGAUGAAGGCCUUAGGGUUGUAAAGCUCUUUUACCAGGGAUGAUAAUGACAGUACCUGGAGAAUAAGCUCCGGCUAACUCCGUGCCAGCAGCCGCGGUAA
rnacentral:rRNA from 1 species